rnacentral:rRNA from 1 species
UACGUAGGGUGCAAGCGUUAAUCGGAAUUACUGGGCGUAAAGCGUGCGCAGGCGGCUAUGCAAGACAGAUGUGAAAUCCCCGGGCUCAACCUGGGAACUGCAUUUGUGACUGCAUGGCUAGAGUACGGUAGAGGGGGAUGGAAUUCCGCGUGUAGCAGUGAAAUGCGUAGAUAUGCGGAGGAACACCGAUGGCGAAGGCAAUCCCCUGGACCUGUACUGACGCUCAUGCACGAAAGCUAGGGGAGCAAACGGG